rnacentral:rRNA from 1 species
UACGAAGGGGACUAGCGUUGCUCGGAAUCACUGGGCGUAAAGCGCACGUAGGCGGACUCUUAAGUCGGUGGUGAAAUCCUGGAGCUCAACUCCAGAACUGCCUUCGAUACUGAGAGUCUUGAGUCCGGGAGAGGUGAGUGGAACUGCGAGUGUAGAGGUGAAAUUCGUAGAUAUUCGCAAGAACACCAGUGGCGAAGGCGGCUCACUGGCCCGGUACUGACGCUGAGGUGCGAAAGCGUGGGGAGCAAACAGG